ACAAAGUUUUUAUUUUGAGCAAUAUACAAUAGUUUUGUGUAAUCCUAAGUUUUAAAUAAAAUAAAAAGAAAGUUUGAUCCAAGUCUAGGUAAUUGACAAACAUGAUAUGAGAAGGUCUGAGCUACUAUUUAACUUGUUCCAAGUUUUGCUAGAGUUUUGGAGAUUUUAUCUUUUGAAAAUCUAAAAGUUCAUAUAUAUAUAUAUAUAAGAGAAGCCAUUGUUAAUUCUUGUAGUUUUGGUUGAGAGAAUUAUCAUGCUCCAAAGAUCAAGAUCUUUUUGUUUUAAAAAUAUAAAAGAUUCACUCUUCCGAAGUAUUAUUGCGUUAGAGGCAUGGGACUAUGCAAAAAUUUGAUUCAAAAGAAAGAGUGAGACGAGACGUAAAAAUGGACAAGUGUCCAAAGUAGAAUUAGGGGUACAAAGAUACCCACCUGAGUGAAAAAAAAUGGACACGUGUCCGAUAGUAGAAUUAGGGGUACUUGGUGCCCACUUAAAGAAAAGAAAGAAAAAAAAUUGAUAGCCCAUGGUCCCUCUAAUAAGCAAUAUGCCAGUAAGAGAUGACAAACUUUUCAAAAAGGUCAAAGGUCUUGAUCUAGGAGUAUGACAUUCCUCUCCCUUGCUCGGAGCAUUGACAUAGCAAAAUGCAAAGUAUGCUAAAACUUUUAAAGCUCUACUUAUAUAUCUUUCGAGAAGAAGGCAAAUUCCUCAGUUUUAUUUUGGAAACUUACAAAAAUACUCCAGAACAAAGGUAACACAGAAGAACUUGAGACAUAGUGCUUGACUUGAUCGUUCUGUUUUUCAAUCACUUAAGACCUUUGUGAUAAUUUAAAAACCCUGUAGUAAGAGGCAUAAAAGUAACCCAUGUUUUCUUGCUGAUUUUAGCUUUGCUCAGGACGAGCAAAGGUUAAGCUUGGGGGAGCUUGUUGACGGUCCUUAAUGCUCACAUUUAACCAUCAACUAAUCAUGGAAAAGGACUUAUAUGCAACCAACACCUAGACUUAGGAUUUUAUCUGACAGAAUUCCACGAGUUUUGGUGUUUGUCUAUUUCUGCAGGGGGUUAUUAGGGAAUAUAGAAGAAAGGCCCAC
rnacentral:lncRNA from 1 species